CAGUGGAGCUGUCAUACUUAUCAUUAUCCCAUCAUGUUCCUGAACAUAUCACUUGCUGUCUAUCAUAAAACUUUGCCCGUUGCAAUUUGCUAUUCCAAGUACCAAUAAGCUGCUGGCAUUAGAAGUAUUUUCAUCAUGUUAGUAUAUUGGUUUUGAUAUACAGUUGUUUUUAUUUACAGAACCAUGUUCCAACAAGGGAAGAAAAACAAAACCUGUUACAGUCCGGACUAGGGGAACAGACGAUAACUUUUGUGAAGUCAGCAGACCCCGUGUAUUUCAAAAUGAAAAUCGAGGAAAAGUUCCCUAAACUUAAAGACAUCGGAGGCUAUGAACUUUUCAGGAGUCCCCCUAAAGAUUUCAAUUAGAACUGAUUCCAAUACCUCCAGAUGGUUACACAACAGAACAUUUAGCUGACUGUAGUAUGUUGGGCCAAGCAUUAUGUUUUUUACGUCCUAAACAGGGGAACUUAAGUCUGGAACACUCUCAUAUGGAGGUUUCGGAAAUCAAAGAUGAGGCAAAACGUAAGAACUUUGUUGUUUUGGAUGUUAUCGUGUCAAUCUUGAUCCCGAUCGUAUACAUUCUCUUUGCAGUUAUUUAUGUGUGGCAAUGGCAACAAAAGGAGUACAGAAAGACGUGAGUGGUGCCAGCCUUCCCCUUUCUUUCCGUGAUCUUCAUCUUUUCUUUCCCUUAGAAUAUUAAUGUGAUUAAGCUAAACAUUAUUGUUCCCAUGCUUUUAUAGUCCAACCUGGAACUCAAAACUGUAAAACAAUAUCCUAAAGGUAAUGAAGAAAUAUAUUAAGAAUUGCAUUGUCAAAGUCUAAUUAAAAUCAUUGUUAUGGCUUUAUGUUAUGUUCAGAGUUAAUGAUCUGAAACUUUGCAUUCAGACUUUCAUCAGAUGGAUCCUGAUUAUCGACUUAUUAUUUCAAAUCACGUCAUGAACAUCAGUCUUUGAUAAUUUGUUUUUUCUUCAACUAUGUUAAUGAUUUUUGUAAGUGUGUACAUGAAAAGGAAAGGAAUAAAAUGACAUGCAUGAUUUUUUUCAAUAACUUAAACUGAGGCUUACAAGUUUUAUUAUUAAAGAUAUGUUGUUUGAUGUAAAAUCGUGCAAAAUGUUUUUCAAUUACUUUCAUAAUUGAAGCAGAAAGUACAGCCAAAUCUUAUUAAAUAAAGAAAACACAAUGUAUUAUGAUUUUUAGAAAAUAUUUCUUAACUUAAAUAUCCUUGUAUAUUUUAAAAAGUGCACAAUAAAGUUCCAAAUAAUAAUUUGUAUCGCACAAAUAUUGAACAAAAUAAUACUAUGCUCGCAUAUUUACAUUUUGUUCAACUCUAUCAAUAAAUUGAGCACUCAACAUAUGCUCAUUCAAUAUCCUCUAUAAACUUUAUACAUGGAUUGAUACCUACCUUUCAUUUUAAAUUACUUUUCUUUUUGCCAUGCUUACUGUUUGUCCCAUAGCAAAUGUCGAGUGCAUUUUAAAUAUUCACCGCAUUUAUAUAUUGAUAAUGAAUGCAAUUUAUUUCAAAUUCAAUUUGUUUAAUGAUUGCUGUGGAUUUUUUCAUGUUUUAAAGAUAUCAGUUUCAUUGGUAAUACUUAAAGUUUAUUAUUUACAUAUUUAUUUUAUUUUUCUAUUUUAUUUAUUCAUUUAUUUUCUUUAUAAACAUUUAAUUUGUAUUUAAGUAAAGGAAAAAGGCAGAGUAUUGGUCCAUUCUGGAGAAAUAAUUGAGACGAGGUCGUUGAAGAAUUCAAAUUUUCAAUAUUUCUCUGGAAUGGACAAGUACAAAUGACUCCCACUUUAAACACCAGUGUAUUCUUUUUAGGAAUUUUCGUUAAGUUUAUGAUGUCAAAGAGUACGAUGCUUGUUCACUUAAAUGUUGAAACAAUAAAAUUUACUGAACACAGAUUGAUACCUACCUUUUAUUUUAAAUUACUUGUUUUCUUUUUGCCAUGCUUACUGUUUGUCCCAUAGCAA